rnacentral:rRNA from 1 species
AUUGAACGCUGGCGGCAGGCCUAACACAUGCAAGUCGAGCGGAUGAAGGGAGCUUGCUCCUGGAUUCAGCGGCGGACGGGUGAGUAAUGCCUAGGAAUCUGCCUGGUAGUGGGGGAUAACGUCCGGAAACGGGCGCUAAUACCGCAUACGUCCUGAGGGAGAAAGUGGGGGAUCUUCGGACCUCACGCUAUCAGAUGAGCCUAGGUCGGAUUAGCUAGUUGGUGGGGUAAAGGCCUACCAAGGCGACGAUCCGUAACUGGUCUGAGAGGAUGAUCAGUCACACUGGAACGUAGACACGGUCCAGACUACUACGGGAGGCAGCAGUGUGGAAUAUUAGACAAUGGGCGAAAGCCUGAUCCAGCCAUGCCGCGUGUGUGAAGAAGGUCUUCGGAUUGUAAAGCACGUUUAGUUGGGAGGAAGGGCAGUAAGUUAAUACCUUGCUGUUUUGACGUUACCAACAGAAUAAGCACCGGCUAACUACGUG